GUUCUUGGAGGAUUCAGGGCAGAUUUUUCCAGAGUAGGAGUGUUACAAAAUCUCAGGGAAAGAGGCUUUGGAGACGAUGAACCUGGAUGGAAUCCUGGUUCCUCUCUUACUACCUGUAUGUUAUCUGGUAAGUUCCUUAACCUCUCUGUGCCCCCGAGUCCUCAUCUGUGAAAUCAGGUUAAUUGCUAAUAUCUAUCUCAUAGGGUUUCUGUAAGAAUUAAAUGGAAUAAAAUAAAGCUGGUAACUUGACCAAUGUUUCUUAAUUUGGAGUCCUAGGACUCCUGAAGAUCCUCAGAUACUCUUUUGUUCAACAAUACUUUGUAUUUUUCAGUAUGGAGAGUAUGCACUCUAAAUUGACCAAUCUUUAGUAGAUUAUAUUGACUUUAGCAAAAUAAUUAAAAUGGAAAUUUCUACAAUUUAAAUGAUGAUUAGCGAUGACUAAAAUACUUACAAGGAAAACCUAAUCAUGCCCAAAAGCAUAAUACUCACACAUACUACUAAUACACUGAACGUGGACAAUUUAAGUUUAACCAAAAUCUACUCUUUAAACUGUAAUUAAUUUGAAUUUUAUUGGCUGUAGUUUUGUUUAUAUUAAUUUGUAAGUUUGUUUUUAAAUUUAUUCUGGGACCUCGCUUUGUAAUUUUACAUACUGAGGAAAUUUAAGAAUUAAAAAAAAGUGGUACAUAAUGCUAGAGGUCUACAAAAAUUUAUUUCCUCAAAAAGAGAUCCAUAUAUAUAUACAAGAUGACUCAAGUCAAACAUUGAACCAGUGUCUAAAAUCCUCCGAUGUGGAAACUAAUGACUGUAGGACAUGGAUAGAAAGGACAGGGCAAUCUCAGAUCAUUAUAAUACUUUUCAUUAUAAUCAUCACAUGGUUUUUCUCUUCAGUUUCCUGCAAAGAGAAAGAAAAAGACAGAAGAAAUAAUCUAGAUGAUCAAGAAUGGAAUUCUCUCAUGCAAAUUCAAACUAUAAAGGGAAGCAUCUCACACUUUGCAUGGCUGCGUCUCAUUACUCAGAAGUCAGUCCAUAGGCAAAGAGCUUGUAUUUACUGUUUCAUUAAAUAAGGACUGCCAUCCACGGAGGAUUCAUUGCAACCUGCCCUUAACAUUUUUGAACUACAAGUCCAUAUAUCUGAGUAGAUUAACUCAGAGGCUUGUUGCAGGAAACCAGCGGAAAUUUGAUUCCAAUUGACUGAUAACAGCUCCUGUUUUCUCCAAGUCUAAACAAUGACAAAAACAUUCAAAUUUCCAGGAAGGGUGGGAAGUUGGGAAGUUUUUUUCUUUUUUCUUUUUUUUUUUUUUUUUUUGCGGGAGACUUUAAAAAUAUGUAGUAUUUGGG
rnacentral:lncRNA from 1 species